rnacentral:snoRNA from 1 species
AUGAUAAUAUGGGCAUCAUUAAUAAAUAUGUAAGACUUUUGAAAAGGUUAUGAUUGAAAUUACAUGAAGAAAAAUGGUGACUAGGUCAGAGAAGAGGAUUAAGAAUAAGCCAUGCCAUGCAGCCAAAGAGUAAGUUGGGAUCAUAGUACCGGUCUAGUGUUGUCUCAUUGGACAUAAUUUACCACUGGCCAGCCUCCAAAUUCCCAUACAGAA